GUACUCACCUGCAUGGUUAGCCUUGUCUCUCUGUGGGAGCUGGUCAGCUGGCUGUGGUGAGAGUGUGUGUGGGAGGAGUGUCCAGAGGCAGGGCCUGACUGAUCCCAGUAAUCCUUAUCCAUCAUCUCCUCCAGAAGAUCCAUGAGUUCCUCUUCCUGUCUGGGGCUGGGACCAGGGUUAGGGCUGGGGCUGAGACGGGGGCUGAGACCAGGGUUAGGGCUGGGGCUGAGACCAGGGUUAGGGCUGGGGCUGAGACCAGGGUUAGGACUGGGGCUGAGACCAGGGUUAGGACUGGGGCUGAGACGGGGGUUAGGACGGGGGCUGAGACCAGGGUUAGGACGGGGGCUGAGACCAGGGUUAGGACGGGGGCUGAGACCAGGGUUAGGACUGGGGUUGAGACCAGGGUUAGGACUGGGGUUGAGACCAGGGUUAGGACUGGGGUUGAGACCAGGGUUAGGGCUGGGGCUGAGACCAGGGUUAGGGCUGAGGCUGGGUCCAGGGUUAGGGCUGGACUCAGUGGGUUGGGUAUGGUUCUGGUACCGCUGGCUCCAGGCAGUGUUCUCGUAGCUCUUCAGGAUCCUCUCCACAGCGCCGUAAUUAGACCUGGAGUCAGAUGGACGUAACGCAGCCAGAGUCAGGGGCUUCCAGGGCUGGUCGCUCAUUACACCACGGAGUCCUGACCCCCCAGGCACACGGAGUCCCGACCCCCCAGGCACACAGAGUCCUGACCCCACAGAUCCAGCUUUAAGGAUGUCCUGUGUUGUGGUUGGGCGACUCCCAGGUCGCUGGGGCGCUGGGCAUGACUUAACGGAAUGAGGCCUCGCUCCUUGGGCCUUGAUGUCCCUCUUCGGACUGGCACUCACCUCUGGUCCUGGAGCCGUGUGUGAGUCUGGGCAGGCUGCUUGUAUUCACUAGAGAUGGACCUGUGCAGUGUGGACUUAAACAGGCUGUUGGGGGUCCAGCUUUGUGUUUGACCUCAGGGCAGCGUGUUGCCGGGUUAGAAGGCAUGUUCCUAAACGCAACUUCUGGGCGUUGGGGUGAAAGGUCAGAGGUGGCAGGGGGGUCAAAGGUCCUGACGGUGACCCCUGGAUGAGGGUCAGAUGGGGGCAGGGCCUGGCUCAGUUUGAUCCCUGAACUCAGCUUCUGAGCUGUGAUGUCACAGAUCACCUCCUUCUGUCUGACCUCUGUGGCGUGCCGUGGCGGGAGGUCAAUGUUCGUCUCCCUGGUGACCCCGUGUGUGACCUCACCACAUACCGUCGUACCGUCUGGUACGCCCCUUUUAGAGACACCCGCUGAUGUAAAACUGUCCUCUACAUCAUCGUCCUCCAUCCCUCGACCCAUCUCAGCUUGGAAGAGUGUCCUGUUAAACUCAGCAGUGGCCUGUUCCAGCAUCAUAUUCCUACUGUGGCCUGGAGGGUUGGAGCCUGGAGGGUUGGAGUCUGGAGGGUUGGAGCCUGGAGGGUUGGAGCCUGGAGGGUUGGAGCCUGGAGGGUUGGAGUCUGGAGGGUUGGAGCCUGGAGGGUUGGAGUCUGGAGGGUUGGAGCCUGGAGGGUUGGAGCCUGGAGGGUUGGAGCCUGGAGGGUUGGAGCCUGGAGGGGGUAACUCUAAGGUAAGGUCAAGACAGAUGUGUGAAACUGCUAGGUCUUUGUUUCCAGGUUGUAUAUGACUCUCUCUCUCAGGGCUUCUAGGACUUCUAGGUUUCUCAACGGGCCUGUAGUCGUGGAUCAAGUCCUUCUCAGCAGCACUCACUAUGUUGACUUCAGACAGGCUCUUCUGGACAGGCACGUAGGUGGACGACUUGCUGCUGCCGAAGCGGCUCCCGUCACAGGACCAGCGGUUGUGGCAACAGCCCACGUUGCAGUGGGAGUUAAAGGGAACAGCGCAGGUGGUAAACCCCGCCUCCGUCAGAACUUUCCCCUCGUUCUCCUGCAGCAUCGCCUCGAACUUCCUC
ensembl:lncRNA